rnacentral:rRNA from 1 species
GAACGGGUGAGUAACGCGUAGGUAACCUGCCUGGUAGCGGGGGAUAACUAUUGGAAACGAUAGCUAAUACCGCAUAAUAUUGAUUAUUGCAUGAUAAUUGAUUGAAAGAUGCAACUGCAUCACUACCAGAUGGACCUGCGUUGUAUUAGCUAGUAGGUGAGGUAACGGCUCACCUAGGCGACGAUACAUAGCCGACCUGAGAGGGUGAUCGGCCACACUGGGACUGAGACACGGCCCAGACUCCUACGGGAGGCAGCAGUAGGGAAUCUUCGGCAAUGGACGAAAGUCUGACCGAGCAACGCCGCGUGAGUGAAGAAGGUUUUCGGAUCGUAAAGCUCUGUUGUAAGAGAAGAACGGGUGUGAGAGUGGAAAGUUCACACUGUGACGGUAUCUUACCAGAAAGGGACGGCUAACUACGUGGCAGCAGCCGCGGUAAUACGUAGGUCCCGAGCGUUGUCCGGAUUUAUUGGGCGUAAAGCGAGCGCAGGCGGUUAGAUAAGUCUGAAGUUAAAGGCUGUGGCUUAACCAUAGUACGCUUUGGAAACUGUUUAACUUGAGUGCAGAAGGGGAGAGUGGAAUUCCAUGUGUAGCGGUGAAAUGCGUAGAUAUAUGGAGGAACACCGGUGGCGAAAGCGGCUCUCUGGUCUGUAACUGACGCUGAGGCUCGAAAGCGUGGGGAGCGAACAGGAUUAGAUACCCUGGUAGUCCACGCCGUAAACGAUGAGUGCUAGGUGUUAGGCCCUUUCCGGGGCUUAGUGCCGCAGCUAACGCAUUAAGCACUCCGCCUGGGGAGUACGACCGCAAGGUUGAAACUCAAGGAAUUGACGGGGGCCCGCACAAGCGGUGGAGCAUGUGGUUUAAUUCGAAGCAACGCGAAGAACCUUACCAGGUCUUGACAUCCCGAUGCCCGCUCUAGAGAUAGAGUUUUACUUCGGUACAUCGGUGACAGGUGGUGCAUGGUUGUCGUCAGCUCGUGUCGUGAGAUGUUGGGUUAAGUCCCGCAACGAGCGCAACCCUUAUUGUUAGUUGCCAUCAUUCAGUUGGGCACUCUAGCGAGACUGCCGGUAAUAAACCGGAGGAAGGUGGGGAUGACGUCAAAUCAUCAUGCCCCUUAUGACCUGGGCUACACACGUGCUACAAUGGCUGGUACAACGAGUCGCAAGUCGGUGACGGCAAGCUAAUCUCUUAAAGCCAGUCUCAGUUCGGAUUGUAGGCUGCAACUCGCCUACAUGAAGUCGGAAUCGCUAGUAAUCGCGGAUCAGCACGCCGCGGUGAAUACGUUCCCGGGCCUUGUACACACCGCCCGUCACACCACGAGAGUUUGUAA